CCCAAGGAUGGGGCCGCGGCCGAUCAGGUUGUUGGUGAGGUAACGGCUCACCAAGCCUUUAACCGGUGCGGGCCGUGGGAGCGGGAGCCCGGAGAUGGGCACUGAGACAAGGGCCCAGGCCCUACGGGGCGCAGCAGUCGCGAAAACUUCGCAAUAAGCGAAAGCUUGACGGGGCUAUCCCGAGUGCCAUCCGCUGAGGAUGGCUUUUCCCUAGUAUAGAUAGCUGGGGGAAAAAGGAGAGGGCAAGUCUGGUGUCAGCCGCCGCGGUAAUACCAGCUCUCCGAGUGGUGGGGAUGAUUAUUGGGCCUAAAGCACCCGUAGCCGGUUCGGUGAGUCCUCUGUCAAAUCCAACCGCUCAACGGUUGGCUCGCAGAGGAUACUGCCGGACUAGGAGGCGGGAGAGGCGGACGGUACUCCGCGUGUAGGGGUAAAAUCCUUUGAUCCGCGGAAGACCACCAGUGGCGAAGGCGGUCUGCCAGAACGCGCUCGACGGUGAGGGGUGAAAGCUGGGGGAGCGAACCGGAUUAGAUACCCGGGUAGUCCCAGCUGUAAACGAU
rnacentral:rRNA from 1 species